rnacentral:lncRNA from 1 species
AAAGCAAAUAUUUUAGUUCUAAUGAUAGCAAAUAUAAACCUCUUGCAUAUCACCUUAAAAGCUUAUUCUAGUUGAUGAUUAAACAACUGAAUAUUUUUCCAAAUGCGCUUGGACUCCAUAGUGGGCGGCCUUUUUGUUUUCACUGAGAGGCGAUAAUAUAUUCAAGACUAUCCCUUUCGUUUUAUAACCAAUAUUAUUGUCCACUCGAUCUUUAACUGAACAUUGAUGAAUAUGAUAAUAAUUGUGUCAACAUUUAGUGCAUAAAUCAGCUCAAUGAUCCUAGUUGCUUUGGGAAUCUUGUUAGCAAGGGUGUUAACAAUCACUUGGCUAUUACUUACCACACACAACUCUUGAUGAGACAUCUCUAUUUAUAAUAAUUAGUAAAUGAAUUCUUGUCUUAAACAAGAGACUCCUUAAAAUCAAUAGUUUUCAAAUUAAAAGAUAAAUAAUAAUAAUAAUCAUUCAUAAAUUUGAGAAAAAAUUUGUCAAUGUAAAUUGACUUAUGUAAUGGUGAUAAAAAAAAAAGGGAGUUGGAUUGAUGCAUUACUUAUGUCUAGUUGGAAUAAGAUCUUCUUCUGAUCUGAGCACUAUUGAGCUUUUAAUGAUUUUUUACCAUGUGUCUUUUAGUGGUAGUGUAUGGGUAAUAUUUAACUUCUUUUACUUUUUUAUUUAUUAAUAAUCAAUCAGUGAUUGAGUUAUUUACUCAGGACAUGAUCAGAUCAGGAGAAAAUCAUAAUUCUAUCUAGUUAAGACUGUAUGGAGGGAAAAUAAAAGGAAGUAAUUGUUUACUUUUUCUUCUUUUAGGAAACCUGAUAGUAAUAGAUUGUAAGUUGUGAUAUAUUUGGAGCAUAUGAAACAAUAAGAAAUUAACAUCAAAUGUUCUACAGUUUUAUACACCUUUCAACAAUAUUUUCUCUCUUAGUCUUAUCAAUACAUAUCACUCAUGUUGUUUUUGAAAAAGUCAUAGAUACUCUCGGUGUCUAUUU